rnacentral:rRNA from 1 species
GAUGAACGCUGGCGGCGUGCUUAACACAUGCAAGUCGAGCGAGAAGUUUUGAAAAGAUUCUUCGGAUGAAAUUUAAAAUGGAAAGCGGCGGACGGGUGAGUAACGCGUAGGCAACCUGCCCCAUACAAAGGGAUAGCAUUUGGAAACGAAUAUUAAUACCUUAUGAAACUUAACUAGUGCAUGCUAGGUAGGUCAAAGAUUUAUCGGUAUGGGAUGGGCCUGCGUCUGAUUAGCUAGUUGGUGAGGUAACGGCUCACCAAGGCGACGAUCAGUAGCCGACCGGAGAGGGUGAACGGCCACAUUGGAACGGAGGCACGGUCCAAGCUCCUACGGGAAGCAGCAGCAGGGAAUAUUGAGCAAUGGGGGAAGACCUGAGGCAGCAACGGCGCGUGAAAGAAGAAGGCCUUUGGGUGGUAAAGUUCUGUUCUAGGUGAUGAAAACUGACAGUAACCUAGGAGAAAGCCCCGGCUAACUCCGUG